UCCCCACCACAAUCACCUGUUGAAUAUGUGUGUGUAUAUACUUGUAUAUACUAUGUGUAUAGUUGAAUAAAUACGAUUCAGUCAGACAUAAUAAUGGACAAGGAUUUUGGUUCUAAUUCCAUUGCUUGAUUGGAAUUUUAUAUUAUUUGUUUUACAUAUUUUGGCAGCUAAAGAAGCAGCAUCAUAUCCCAAACCAAGUUCACCGGGUGGACCUGGAGGUCCUGGAGGACCAGGAGGACCAGGUGGACCAUGACGACCUUCUUCACCUGGAGGACCUUUUGGUCCUGGAUUACCAGUUAGUCCAAUUAUUCCAGGAUUACCAUCUCGUCCAGGACUACCUCUAAGUCCAGGUUCACCAUCUUUGCCAGGUAAACCAGGAGGACCGGGCAAUCCUGUCUGUCCUACCGCUCCUGGUGGUCCUUUAUCUCCAAGACGACCUGCUAUUCCAGGUGGUCCAGGUUUACCAGUUGGACCUUCUGCUCCAAUUUCUCCUGGUGGUCCAGGUGGUCCAAUUGGUCCAAUUUGUCCAGGUGGUCCAGGUGGACCUUCUGUUCCAGGUUUCCCAGGAUAUACCUGAAAACCUCUAGGACCUGGAGACCCUGGAGCUCCCCGUUCCCCAUCUGUUCCUGAUGGUCCAGGUGAACCUUGAGGACCUGGGGCUCCUUCUUUUCCUGUAUCACCUCUAGGA